rnacentral:misc_RNA from 1 species
UGCCUUAAGGAUAGUGUAAUAUUUGCAAGUCUCAAGUAUUGAGUCUUGAGAAGAAAAAUUUCCAGGGAAUUGGUUAAUCUCCCCUUGUGGAGCUGUUAAGUGCAACUCAUCCAAUCAAGCAAAGGAUAAAUCAAUUGAGGUAUAUCAUGACGGUUCUCAGCGUAAUUGUAAAUCCCUGGUAUACCAAUUUUGUAUACACGCUGAUACUUCUGCAGCUGAAACUUCCUUUCUUCUGGUACUUGUUCAGCAGAAAAUUCCCCAAAAAUAGGAUGGGAUGGCU